rnacentral:rRNA from 1 species
GACGAACGCUGGCGGCGUGCUUAACACAUGCAAGUCGAACGGAAAGGCCUGCUUUCCCUUGUGGAUUGCGGGUACUCGAGUGGCGAACGGGUGGGUAACACGUGAGUGAUCUGCCCCCAACUUGGGUAUAAGCCUGGGAAACUGGGUCUAAUUCCCGAUAGGACUGCAGGGUGGUGCCUGUGGUGGAAAACGAUUUUCUAGUGGUUGGGGAUGAGCUCGCGGCCUAUCAGCUUGUUGGUGGGGUAAUGGCCUACCAAGGCGGCGACGGGUAGCCGGCCUGGGAGGGUGGACGGCCACAUUGGGACUGGGAUACGGCCCAGACUCCUACGGGAGGCAGCAGUGGGGAAUAUUGCACAAUGGGCGGAAGCCUGAGGCAGCGACGCCGCGUGGGGGAUGACGGCCUUCGGGUUGUAAACUCCUUUCGACCGCGAGGAAGCCACCUGGUUGGAAGGGUGGUGACGGUAGUGGUAGAAGAAGCACCGGCUAACUACGUG